rnacentral:tRNA from 1 species
ACCUGGCUAGCUCAGUCAGUAGAGCAUGUGACUCUUGAUCUCGGGGUUGUAGGUUCAAACCCCAUGCUGGGUG